rnacentral:piRNA from 1 species
UACCCUACUUUGCCUAUUAACCUUUCCUUC